rnacentral:rRNA from 1 species
GACGAACCGCCCGAACGUUAUUCGGAAUCACUGGGCUUAAAGGGAGCGUAGGCGGGCUACCAAGUCCGGGGUGAAAUCCUCCAGCUUAACUGGAGAACUGCCUCGGAUACUGGAAGUCUCGAGGAGGAUAGGGGCAAGUGGAACCGUGGGUGGAGCGGUGAAAUGCGUUGAUAUCCAUGGGAACUCCGGUGGCGAAGGCGACUUGCUGGAUCCUUUCUGACGCUGAGGCUCGAAAGCCAGGGGAGCAAACGGG